GGCCUCUUUUCCAGGAUUCCAGGAUGGGGUUCUUUCUAAUAGGUUACCCCAGUAUGAUCUGGAGUUUUUAAAAAAAGUAAAAGCAGUUGAAGACCGCCCACUUGCUAUAAUUUGAAAGGCUUGUUCUCCCCUCCCUUCAUCUCUUUGAAUCCUGCUUCACAGACAUUGUUGUCUUUGGGACCAAUACAUUUCUUCUAUCUGCAUAUCUGGGUAGAAGCUCUCAUGGAAGAAAAAAGAAAAGCCCCAUAGGUGAAGGGGAGUGUGCCUGCCAAGUUCCUUGUAAUAACUUCACACGCAGAGUAUUUUAUGAAAUGAAUCUGCUGGAGUCAUCUCAUGGAAUCUUCUCAUUCUUCUGGAGUCUCCUCAUUUUACAGGAAAAACAUCCAGGCAAGUGGAAAGCAUUUGCAUCAGCCCAGCAAUAAGAAGGACCAUAUUCUACUUGGGAAAAGGUAAAGACGUUUCAUAUGGAUGGAGCCUGCCAGGAAACCUGUCAUUCAACCCUUUGCAAUAAAACAGCUCCUCAUGAAUGAAGCAAAAUAAAUCAGAAGUCGUGGGCUUUUAAAUUCACUAAAUGAAAGCCCAGCAUGCAUGCAGCCUCCCUCCAAAUUAAUCACCAGAUUAAAUGCAAGAUGUGCACACCAAAUCAAUAGCUUGUGACAGAGACCUCCUGCCUGUGCUUCAGGAAAAUUCCAUUUCCUUUCAGAUGUUGUAGCUUGAAAUGUCAGGAAGUUUCCAUUCAUCACCCGCCCUUGAAAAUGCCACCAUCACCAUGCUUCAUGUUUCCUUGCUUUCUUUCUUCAGAGGAAUCCAAGCACCUUGCAGAGGGAGCCCACUCAUUGUCACAG
rnacentral:lncRNA from 1 species